CAUGCAGUCGAGGGGUAGUUGUCUUCGGAUAUGAGACCGGCGCACGGGUGCGUAACGCGUAUACAAUCUACCUUUUACAGAGGGAUAGCCCAGAGAAAUUUGGAUUAAUACCUCAUAGUAUUUUUGAAUGGCAUCAUUUGAUUAUUAAAGUUCCAACGGUAAAAGAUGAGUAUGCGUCCCAUUAGCUAGAUGGUAAGGUAACGGCUUACCAUGGCAACGAUGGGUAGGGGUCCUGAGAGGGAGAUCCCCCACACUGGUACUGAGACACGGACCAGACUCCUACGGGAGGCAGCAGUGAGGAAUAUUGGACAAUGGGCGCAAGCCUGAUCCAGCCAUGCCGCGUGCAGGAAGAAGGUCCUAUGGAUUGUAAACUGCUUUUAUACAGGAAGAAACACACCCUCGUGAGGGUACUUGACGGUACUGUAUGAAUAAGGACCGGCUAACUCCGUGCCAGCAGCCGCGGUAAUACGGAGGGUCCAAGCGUUAUCCGGAAUCAUUGGGUUUAAAGGGUCCGUAGGCGGUUUAAUAAGUCAGUGGUGAAAGCCCAUCGCUCAACGAUGGAACGGCCAUUGAUACUGUUAAACUUGAAUUAUUAGGAAGUAACUAGAAUAUGUAGUGUAGCGGUGAAAUGCUUAGAGAUUACAUGGAAUACCAAUUGCGAAGGCAGGUUACUACUAAUAUAUUGACGCUGAUGGACGAAAGCGUGGGGAGCGAACAGGAUUAGAUACCCUGGUAGUCCACGCCGUANACGAUGGAUACUAGCUGUUCGGAGCAAUCUGAGUGGCUAAGCGAAAGUGAUAAGUAUCCCACCUGGGGAGUACGUUCGCAAGAAUGAAACUCAAAGGAAUUGACGGGGGCCCGCACAAAGCGUGGAGCAUG
rnacentral:rRNA from 1 species